UUAAGCGACUAAGCGUACACGGUGGAUGCCCUGGCAGUCAGAGGCGAUGAAGGACGUGCUAAUCUGCGAUAAGCGUCGGUAAGGUGAUAUGAACCGUUAUAACCGGCGAUUUCCGAAUGGGGAAACCCAGUGUGAUUCGUCACACUAUCAUUAACUGAAUCCAUAGGUUAAUGAGGCGAACCGGGGGAACUGAAACAUCUAAGUACCCCGAGGAAAAGAAAUCAACCGAGAUUCCCCCAGUAGCGGCGAGCGAACGGGGAGCAGCCCAGAGCCUGAAUCAGUGUGUGUGUUAGUGGAAGCGUCUGGAAAGGCGCGCGAUACAGGGUGACAGCCCCGUACACAAAAAUGCACAUGCUGUGAGCUCGAUGAGUAGGGCGGGACACGUGGUAUCCUGUCUGAAUAUGGGGGGACCAUCCUCCAAGGCUAAAUACUCCUGACUGACCGAUAGUGAACCAGUACCGUGAGGGAAAGGCGAAAAGAACCCCGGCGAGGGGAGUGAAAAAGAACCUGAAACCGUGUACGUACAAGCGGGGGAGCACGCUUAGGCGUGUGACUGCGUACCUUUGUAUAAUGGGUCAGCGACUUAUAUUCUGUAGCAAGGUUAACCGAAUAGGGAGCCGAAGGAAACCGAGUCUUAACUGGGCGUUAAGUUGCAGGGUAUAGACCCGAAACCCGGUGAUCUAGCCAUGGGCAGGUUGAAGGUUGGGUAACACUAACUGGAGGACCGAACCGACUAAUGUUGAAAAAUUAGCGGAUGACUUGUGGCUGGGGGGUGAAAGGCCAAUCAAACCGGGAGAUAGCUGGUUCUCCCCGAAAGCUAUUUAGGUAGCGCCUCGUGAAUUCAUCUCCGGGGGUAGAGCACUGUUUCGGCAAGGGGGUCAUCCCGACUUACCAACCCGAUGCAAACUGCGAAUACCGGAGAAUGUUAUCACGGGAGACACACGGCGGGUGCUAACGUCCGUCGUGAAGAGGGAAACAACCCAGACCGCCAGCUAAGGUCCCAAAGUCAUGGUUAAGUGGGAAACGAUGUGGGAAGGCCCAGACAGCCAGGAUGUUGGCUUAGAAGCAGCCAUCAUUUAAAGAAAGCGUAAUAGCUCACUGGUCGAGUCGGCCUGCGCGGAAGAUGUAACGGGGCUAAACCAUGCACCGAAGCUGCGGCAGCGACACUAUGUGUUGUUGGGUAGGGGAGCGUUCUGUAAGCCUGUGAAGGUGUACUGUGAGGUAUGCUGGAGGUAUCAGAAGUGCGAAUGCUGACAUAAGUAACGAUAAAGCGGGUGAAAAGCCCGCUCGCCGGAAGACCAAGGGUUCCUGUCCAACGUUAAUCGGGGCAGGGUGAGUCGACCCCUAAGGCGAGGCCGAAAGGCGUAGUCGAUGGGAAACAGGUUAAUAUUCCUGUACUUGGUGUUACUGCGAAGGGGGGACGGAGAAGGCUAUGUUGGCCGGGCGACGGUUGUCCCGGUUUAAGCGUGUAGGCUGGUUUUCCAGGCAAAUCCGGAAAAUCAAGGCUGAGGCGUGAUGACGAGGCACUACGGUGCUGAAGCAACAAAUGCCCUGCUUCCAGGAAAAGCCUCUAAGCAUCAGGUAACAUCAAAUCGUACCCCAAACCGACACAGGUGGUCAGGUAGAGAAUACCAAGGCGCUUGAGAGAACUCGGGUGAAGGAACUAGGCAAAAUGGUGCCGUAACUUCGGGAGAAGGCACGCUGAUAUGUAGGUGAAGUCCCUCGCGGAUGGAGCUGAAAUCAGUCGAAGAUACCAGCUGGCUGCAACUGUUUAUUAAAAACACAGCACUGUGCAAACACGAAAGUGGACGUAUACGGUGUGACGCCUGCCCGGUGCCGGAAGGUUAAUUGAUGGGGUCAGCGCAAGCGAAGCUCUUGAUCGAAGCCCCGGUAAACGGCGGCCGUAACUAUAACGGUCCUAAGGUAGCGAAAUUCCUUGUCGGGUAAGUUCCGACCUGCACGAAUGGCGUAAUGAUGGCCAGGCUGUCUCCACCCGAGACUCAGUGAAAUUGAACUCGCUGUGAAGAUGCAGUGUACCCGCGGCAAGACGGAAAGACCCCGUGAACCUUUACUAUAGCUUGACACUGAACAUUGAGCCUUGAUGUGUAGGAUAGGUGGGAGGCUUUGAAGUGUGGACGCCAGUCUGCAUGGAGCCGACCUUGAAAUACCACCCUUUAAUGUUUGAUGUUCUAACGUGGACCCGUAAUCCGGGUUGCGGACAGUGUCUGGUGGGUAGUUUGACUGGGGCGGUCUCCUCCUAAAGAGUAACGGAGGAGCACGAAGGUUGGCUAAUCCUGGUCGGACAUCAGGAGGUUAGUGCAAUGGCAUAAGCCAGCUUGACUGCGAGCGUGACGGCGCGAGCAGGUGCGAAAGCAGGUCAUAGUGAUCCGGUGGUUCUGAAUGGAAGGGCCAUCGCUCAACGGAUAAAAGGUACUCCGGGGAUAACAGGCUGAUACCGCCCAAGAGUUCAUAUCGACGGCGGUGUUUGGCACCUCGAUGUCGGCUCAUCACAUCCUGGGGCUGAAGUAGGUCCCAAGGGUAUGGCUGUUCGCCAUUUAAAGUGGUACGCGAGCUGGGUUUAGAACGUCGUGAGACAGUUCGGUCCCUAUCUGCCGUGGGCGCUGGAGAAUUGAGGGGGGCUGCUCCUAGUACGAGAGGACCGGAGUGGACGCAUCACUGGUGUUCGUUGUCAUGCCAAUGGCACUGCCCGGUAGCUAAAUGCGGAAGAGAUAAGUGCUGAAAGCAUCUAAGCACGAAACUUGCCCGAGAUGAGUUCUCCCUGACUCCUUGAGAGUCCUGAAGGAACGUUGAAGACGACGACGUUGAUAGGCCGGUGUGUAAGCGCAGCGAUGCGUUGAGCUAACCGGUACUAAUGAACCGUGAGGCUUAACCU
rnacentral:rRNA from 1 species